AGCUCUUUGUUUUGGAAACCAAUGAUUUUGAAAGUCAUUUAAAGACGUUCAAAUCGUCUAAGAGCUU
rnacentral:tRNA from 1 species